AUUGAACGCUGGCGGCAGGCUUAACACAUGCAAGUCGAACGGUAGCAGGAGAAAGCUUGCUUUCUUGCUGACGAGUGGCGGACGGGUGAGUAAUGUUUGGGAAUCUGGCUUAUGGAGGGGGAUAACGACGGGAAACUGUCGCUAAUACCGCGUAGUGUCGAGAGACGAAAGUGCGGGACCGCAAGGCCGCAUGCCAUGAGAUGAGCCCAAGUGGGAUUAGGUAGUUGGUGGGGUAAAGGCCUACCAAGCCUGCGAUCUCUAGCUGGUCUGAGAGGAUGACCAGCCACACUGGAACUGAGACACGGUCCAGACUCCUACGGGGGGCAGCAGUGGGGAAUAUUGCGCAAUGGGGGGAACCCUGACGCAGCCAUGCCGCGUGAAUGAGGAAGGCCUUCGGGUUGUAAAGUUCUUUCGGUAUUGAGGAAGGAGUGUAUGUUAAUAGCAUACAUUAUUGACGUUAAAUACAGAAGAAGCACCGGCUAACUCCGUGCCAGCAGCCGCGGUAAUACGGAGGGUGUGAGCGUAAAACGGAAAACUGGGCGUAAAGGGCUCGAGGCGGUUAUUUAAGUGAGGUGUGAAGGCCCGGUCUUACCCUGGCAAAAAUACCUCAGAAAGAGGUAGAUG
rnacentral:rRNA from 1 species